rnacentral:sRNA from 1 species
ACCGCCGGUUUGCACCGGCCAAGGCCAUACGGACAGCCGGGUCGAAUGCCGA